rnacentral:rRNA from 1 species
GUGAGGAAUAUUGCGCAAUGGAGGCAACUCUGACGCAGCCAUGCCGCGUGCAGGAAGAAGGCGCUACGCGUUGUAAACUGCUUUUAACCGGGAAGAAACCCCAGGACGUGUCCUGGGUUGACGGUACCGGAGGAAUAAGCACCGGCUAACUUCGUGCCAGCAGCCGCGGUAAUACGAAGGGUGCAAGCGUUAUCCGGAGUCAUUGGGUUUAAAGGGUGCGUAGGCGGAGCGUUAAGUCAGUGGUGAAAUCCUGCAGCUUAACUGUAGACUUGCCAUUGAUACUGGCGCUCUUGAGUGCGCUUGAAGUGGGCGGAAUGUGCCGUGUAGCGGUGAAAUGCUUAGAUAUGGCACAGAACACCAAUUGCGAAGGCAGCUCACUAAGGCGAUACUGACGCUGAGGCACGAAAGCGUGGGGAUCGAACAGGAUUAGAAACCCCGGUAGUCC